AGAAAAAGCAGGGACUUCAAAUGGGAUGAUGAGUAUUGUAAUGACAUCAGAACAAAAGGUUAUAUUUGUGAAAAACAAGUUUGCAACUUCUGUGAUACUUGUUAGAUCGUCAACACCAAUUACACAACCAACGUAUUGUGACAACCCGAUGACCAUAGGUCUACAUUAAUUAGAAUAUAUCAUUCUGUAUCUGCAUGCUGUACUAAUAAAACAGAUCAUCCUAUAGA
rnacentral:lncRNA from 1 species